rnacentral:rRNA from 1 species
UAGGGAAUCUUCGGCAAUGGGGGCAACCCUGACCGAGCAACGCCGCGUGAGUGAAGAAGGUUUUCGGAUCGUAAAGCUCUGUUGUAAGAGAAGAACGUGUGUGAGAGUGGAAAGUUCACACAGUGACGGUAACUUACCAGAAAGGGGACGGCUAACUACGUGCCAG